rnacentral:lncRNA from 1 species
ACAACUUUGUCGGAAGUUAUAAACGGUCAAGAUUUAAAGCUGGCCAUACCAUACACUUACAAUGAUACAUAUAUGUUAUUGUUUUUUUUUUUCCAUCAUUUUCUUCUACAUCGAUCUCGAAAUUGUUAACAAAGGGAUCCAAAUUCGGAUCAUUUGACACCAUAUAUUUUGUUGCUCCACGCCAACUAAGCAAUCUCUUUCUGAUCAAUACAUCUCUGUUGUUGCAAUUACUGAUGAAAUUGAAAUUGCAGGCUAUUUUUUAUGAACUGGAAUUUGGGUCCAAUGCAUGCACCUGGAUCUCGGGUCAUUAUUUUGGACCCGCCACCGGUAGGGUGCAAUGUGUUUUAUUUGGUUCCCUCUUAUGGACAAGUGCCACUAAUAAAUUGGCGUAUGUUUCUUAUUUUCAUUUUAAAUCUAGGCUUAAUUCCACUUUACACCCUUGAAAUGUAGUAUUUUUGCCGUUUGCAUCCUUGAAAAAUAUUUAUAGCACUUUGCAACAUUGAAAAUAGGGUUAAUAAGAUAUAACCCCCUCAUUAGAAAAAAUAUUAGGACUAACCACCUUACAAUAUUUUUAAUGGGUCAAACCCCCUCAGAAAUGUCAAUUACUGUACUACCCCUAUAAUUUGUAAUAGCGAAGACCCCCCCCACCGUUUUCCCCAAAUACAGCAUAUCUUCAACCAUAUUCUUCAAUAUAAUUUCUCCCCCAUUUCCAUUGGUCUGCUAUAUUUAUGCCGAUAAAUUCUCCCAAAAAACAAACUGCAAUAUAUAUCGGAUAUUUUCCCCUUUCAAACAUUGCCCUAGUUUGCUACAUCUUCAGCGAAAAAUAAAAAUCAGAAUACCAUUAUAUUGUGCAAUUCGUUCAGCAACACAGUUGACAAAAAUGGUGAAGAACGGCAAGAAGAAGACAGGUAGUUUGCUAUAUACCCAUCUCUACCACAUAAUUUCUGUUUUUGACACCUUCUUCAGCGACUCCGAAGGACAAAAUCGAGGUCUCCUACAGAAACGGUAUAUAGCGGUACGCGACGACCAUAUGCGACGGUUCGGAUGUCUUCCAUGGUUGAUUACUCAAAAAUGGAGUUUGUAAACACGAUUGUUUUUUAAAUCUACAGAUCUAUGGUCGCACUAUUUGUUGACUCAUAAAAUAUUUGUUUUCCUAUGAAAUUUGUUUUAUCAGAGUCCAAAACAAAGAAAAGAUCAGUAUAAAAAUCGGUAGUUCACUAUAUUUUUCCCGAAGUCAACUAUAAAAUCGG